CCCCCCCCCUCGGCCAGGAGACCACCCCUCCUAGAUGCUGUGCUCAGAGCUGCUGUAGCGUAAAGCUCUAAUAUUCUCCCCAUGUGGCCUACAACAUCAGAAAUCCUUCCAGGCUUUCACCUUAGCUCGGCCCCGACAGGGAUCUUCACCCAACUCUGGUGUAAAGAGGUCAAAACAUGGGUUUUAAAUACACCCCUCUCCCAAACUGCAAGUCUAUAAUCCUCCUGUUUAGGGUUCCCCUCCCAGCCACAACAAAAACAACAUGUAAACACUAAGCAUAUCUUUAGCCCAGCAGGCUGGUUUCAGUGCAGUGAUAGGCUAGCAGUCAGUGUGUUGGCCUGUUUCCCUGACUGUCACCAUAAUAACUCAACACUACACUGAAACGCAGUCCAUCCACACUACAAAAUCAUUUUUUACUUCAUAUUGUACAACAACAACAAAAUGUUUAACUGGUGUGUAAUUCUGACUCACAGAAACACUUAAUUUCCCUGCUACAGUUGGGGUCUGAUGUGUUGGUUCAGAUAAAUUUAAAUGAAAAAAAAAAAAAAACACCAGUUGCUUUGUAAGGGAAGAAAGCUAAACGUCUGAUUUUCUCUAAUACUUUGCAGCUAUUAUAGUGACUUCCCAUUGCCGAAGACAUCACACAACAGACCAACCUAACAGCUACAGUGUAGAUCAGAUACCCAAUUCGUUUACAUUACUCCUCCUCGUAGCCAGUCUGAGCUGCACUGCAGCAAGUAGCUUCAACUACAUGAUACAAUAUUCAUUUACCUUCUUUUUUAUAAUAAUAACAAUAACAGUCACUCUCUUUGCAGGAAUUGUGGGGAGUGGCUUGUUGAGUCAGUAGAACAAGAAAAGGCUGGUGAUCAAAAUAACAUUAUGCUUCUCUGGUCGUUAUUCCACCUGUCUACUAGAGGGACAUCUUGUCAACACUGGAAGGAAAAUAAAGAGGAAUAUUAUUUAAACAAUAAAUCUAAAACUAAAAUGUAACGUGUUUGAACAACUGCGUUGAUUUAUCACAUUUCUAGGCUGAAACUGUAGUUUAAUCCGUGCUUGGCUAAAGCAUAAGGAACAUAUUUCAUCGUGCACAGUGUGACAGUGAAAUGGUUGUAGAUUACAUCCAAACUGUAUGAACACCGAGCGCCCUUCUAAAAUAAAAAUAAAAAUCAGAAAUCCGCUCAUUCAGUGAAGGGAGAUUUGAGUAAAGGGAAAAACAUCUCCUCCAGUACUGACCAGAUUCAAAAACUUAAAAAAAGAUGCUUAAUCUCACAUCGUCAUCCUCAACAUGUCAACCAGCCUUUCAAACUUGUUUUUUUUUUUUAAAACAAUCUAUUAAAAAUGAAAUUAAGUAUAUACAAAGUGUACAGGGUGCCAAGAUGGUUUAGCAGGUGGCACAUCAACGAGAAUAAAGUGGAGUGACCAACUGCCCAUCCAGAAGAACGUCAAACUGCAACGGGACAACACCCAUUUCUUCUCGUUUUGCAUCGUACGGUAGGUAGGUAAAGUCCUCCUGAACAGGAAGGAAUCCCCGGAGACUCCGGAAGGGUGGAGCUACUUUACGUUCCAGUUCUAGAAUAGAUCAGUUCUUAGUGUUCUGAUUGUGAAGCUUGGAGGGGGAGGAACGUUAGAGGGGUUCUUAUAAUGAACUAGUCUGCACUCUGGCUGCCUUCCAAUAGGAGCCUCUGAACAUCGUGCUCCUUGGUCAUCUUCAUGCAGGGGCUUUUCUCCACCGCGGUUUAUCUUCAUAUAGUUGUCAUUUAUUCUGGGGCACUGCAGCCAAGCCAACAGCGGAACAUACAUCAUCCACCCUCUUAUCCAACUAUAGAAAAACAGCCUAAACCUUGAUGCCUUAAUGCAAUGUGUCUCACUGAACAUCAAAAAGGUGGGUAAGGAUGGGUGUUGAUUCAAAGUGUGGAACAUAAAAGUGUUGUUACGUGAGGAGUCACACCGUGGGUGGACGGAUGUUUCCGCAGGGACGAGAUGAGACGGAGAACGGGUUAUUACUUCAGAACAAGUUCAGCUGCUUGUUAAGGCACUUCAUACAAAGAGCUAAAAACAAAAAAAGGACAAAAUAAAAGAGGUGGAGAAAUUAAGGGAUGAGAUAAAAGGUGGGUAGAGGUGCUGGACUGGAAAGGAGAGAGGGCUCAGGGAGGGAGAGAGGGCUCAGGGAGGGAGAGAGGGCUCAGGGAGGGAGAGAGGGCUCAGGGAGGGAGAGAGGGCUCAGGGAGGGAGAGAGGGCUCAGGGAGGGAGAGAGGGCUCAGGGAGGGAGAGAGGGCUCAGGGAGGGAGGGAGGGAGAGAGGGCUCAGGGAGGGAGGGAGGGAGAGAGGGCUCAGGGAGGGAG
rnacentral:lncRNA from 1 species